GCUGAAGAAGCUUAACUUGUAGAUGCCAAAGAUGCUCUUACACAGGUAGGCACCAAAGAUCCAGGACUUGGCUUCGCUGUAGGCCCAGAAGGGAAGGAUCAUGAGGAAGAGGAUGUCUGCCACGGCCAGGUUGAGCAGGGGAAGUUUUGCCCAGGAGCAAAGGUUUCAGAGUGUGAGCAGGAACCAGGACCUAGAAGUCAUCUUGAUGGCCGUGUCACCCAACCACCUCACCGAUGACUCAAUUAUUCACAGGGUGAAGAAAACUUAAUUUACUAUAAAGGAACACAGAAAUCUUGAGACCCCUGGGGGAGACAUUCCUUGACCUAAAGAGUCCCAGGAGAGGAGUCAGAGUAGAGGCUUCUGGAUGGAACCAGGUCUGCAGAAUUGUCCUUUUUCCAUAUGCCAUUCAAAUGCCACUUGUCUACUGAUAUUGCCUGACGUCUUCUAAUCUCCCCAGGCUUGCAAUUCAAUGAGUAAAGUCUAAGACGUACCCUUACCUCUGUCCCCACCCUCAUCUUCAAGCUCUUUUUUUUUUUUUCUUUUUUUUGGUUCUUUUUUUUUUUUUUUUUUUUGGUUCUUUUUUUUUUCCGGAGCUGGGGACCGAACCCAGGGCCUUGCGCUUCCUAGGCAAGCGCUCUACCACUGAGCCAAAUCCCCAACCCUCAAGCUCUUUUUUAAUUUCACUCUGGAACAACCACUGUGCUGGUAGUUUUAGCACAUGCUAGAGUCAUUUGAGAAGAGGGGACCUCGGUUGAGAAAAUGCCUCCAUCAGAUUGGCCUGUGGGUGAGUCUCUGAGGCCGGUUCAUUGGGGGUGCUGCUGCCCCUGGACUGCUGGUCUUGGGUAAAGGGUUAGUGAUCUAAAAGCCUCAGGCGAGCUGAGAAACUCUGGAUGGGAUCAGGGACACACUGCUAAUGUCUGUAGGUAGUUAGGAGCCAAAUUCCUCCUGACGAGAAAAGUCACUAAUGGAUAAGAACCUCCGUUGGUAUUUACAGCUCUGAAACUUCAGGGAACAGAUCUGCAGAUGGAAUUUUCCAACCUCAAAAGUUUCCUUUGCUGUCCUAUAAAAACCUCAACCCCCUCUGUGCCUUGGUUGACAGUCUUUUCCCCAGAGAGACUACGGCCCUUCAUAGUCCUAACAAAGGACUACGUCCUUCAUCUGCAUCUGUGGAGAUCCAUCUCUCUUUUCUUUUCAUACAACCUUGACUAAUCUCCAUCUAACACUGGGUGGUAUAAGAAAGCAGGCUCGGGACAGGAGAGGUGGCUCAGAGGUUAAGAACACUGACUGCUCUUCCGGAGGUCCUGAGUUCAAAUCCCAGCAACCACAUGGUGGCUCACAACCAUCUGUAAUGGGAUCUGAUGCCCUUUCUGGUGUGUCUGAAGACAGUGACAGUGUACUCAUAUGUAUAUAAAAUAAAUAAGUCUUUAAAAAAAAAAGAAAGAAAAGAAAGCAGGUUGAGCAAGCCAGGAAGCAACACUCCUCCAUGGCUUCAGCAUCAGCUCCUGCCUCUGGGUUCCUAUCCUGCCUUGAGUGUGUACCCUGACUUCCUUUGAUACUGGAAUGAAAUGGAAAUGUGAGCCAAUAAAACCUUCCCUGACCAAACAGCUUUUGGUCAUGGUGUUUUGUCCUAGCAAUAGUAACCUUAACUUAGUCAGUUUAGCUUCAGGAUGAGGCAACCUUACAGGCAGGUCUGGCAUUUAGGGACACUGGAAUUUGAGAGAGUCAUCUCAGAUCUUACUUAGAAUGUUGGGAUUCAAAAGAGCUAAGAAGCUUGCUAAAUUCCAGCACAGGUACACUCUUAGCUUGCCCGGGCUAGCAUUAGGAACUGUAUUUGGAUGAUUCCCCUGUGAGAUCUUUGGUCUCCAAAUGGAAAAGGACCAAGUGAUGUGAGCUACCAGGUUGCAAGGAGGAAGUGUGAGUUGGUUUUGUUUUUCUGCCAUUGUGACAAAAAAAAAAAAAAAAAAAAAAAAACACCUUGACAAGAACAAUUUAGGGGAGAAAGGGUUAAUAAAGCUCACAGUUCCAGAGUACAGUCUGUCCUGGUUGGGGAGUCAUGGUAGCAGGAGCCUGGGGUGGCUGGUGACAUUGCAUUCAUAGGCAGGAAACAAGGGAAGAUGAAUGCAAGCCUUUUCCUUUUUAUUCAGUCUAAGACCCAAGCCCAGGCCCUGGGCUGCUGACCUUGUGGGGUGAGUUAGUCUUCUCAUCUAAGUUAAGGGGAUCAGGACACUCACUCACAGCCGUGCCCAGGUGAGUUGACAAUCUUAACUUGCACAAAGAGAACACUCUCUAGGAGGAAGAAAAGGGAAGAAGGGCUGGGCGCAGGCUGGCGGGAAGCCUAGGGUCGCCCCAACACCUGUUGCCAUGGCUGGGUAGUGGUUUCCUGUAGUUGUCGACACGUGAACAGAGAAAACACAAUGGCUUUGCCUUGGCAGGAAGAGGCUUCCUGUUUUGCUGUGAGGGCUCAUUGUUGGACAUUGAGAGGAGGAGGCGUGUGUGUGUGUCUGUGUUUUGCAAGUUGCUAAGGUCCUUGAGGAGAGGGCUGGGGACAGGUGAGGAGGGGUCUGACGAUGGUAUCUAGGAAAGCAGGGGUGGGGUCUGUUCUUUCAGAGUUACUCAUGUAAACCUCAUACCAUUUAGGAGAGAGUAAAUCUGGCUUUAAUGCCCUGUUGUCAUGACAACUCCAAAUUACAGUCCUGGGGUUCACCCAAGGUUUGUCUCAAUGCUUUCUUGACCUCUAAGGUGACUUUUAGUUUAGAGCGGUGACAAACCCCUUAGCUUGGACAUUUGAACUGGAAAUCUGGUGAGAAAAAUAGAGGGAAUGCUGGGAUUGACCGCAUGGCAAAGCGAUGUGUUAGAAAGUCGAAGUCUGUACUCCCCAUUCCCAGUGUGUCCAUCCACACAGCUAGCUACUGACAGAGACAUCCAAGCGUCCUGGCGCCCAUUGGAACUUGGGUCUGCUGUAGUGAAGAGGCUCAGGGUCUCGUCUCAGAUGGAGCCAACUCUCUGUUACUCCUUCUCGAUUCCUCAUCUGGGGGUUGGAAUAAGUACAGAAUGCUGUCCGUUGUAUCUGGUCUCACCCUUUGGGGAUUCCAUUGAUCGUUUUCUGAAAACUUCAGGAGGCCCAGGAUGCAUAUUUAGGAAUUCUUAGCAAAGCUUUGGUCAAGAAGAAAAGAUGGUGAGAGUCCUGACCCCCUUCCUUCCUUCCCCUGUGGUAGCUGAAGGACUCACUGUCUGCUUCUUCCUUCCUUUGCAUCCAUCCAUGGCAUUCAAAGCCCCUCUCAGUUUGGCCCAUUGAAUGCUCUGGAGCUGUCGCUUGGGACCUUCCAACUGCAUCUGCCUGUGCUCUAACUCCUCCAGGUCAAGGCACUGCACAUUUUCAUCUUUCUGGAAUUUCCCCACACAUUUUCUCUCUGGUUCCUUUCCCCUCUGUCAUCUUUGAACCUGUUAUUCAAGAUUCAACUUAAAGAGUCUGGAGAGACAGCUCAGCAGUUAAGAGCACUUGCUGUUCCUGCAGGGGACCUAAGUUUGGUUCCCAGUACCCCCAUGGCACCUGACAACUGUCUGUAAUUCCAGUUCCAGGGUAUCUGAUACCCUCUUCUCUUCUCCAUAGCUACUGGGUAUGCUCAUGGCACACGUGCAUGAAGACCAAACACUCAUACACUUAAAAAAAAAUCCAGCUCAAAGAGCUCCCACUUCCCCGAAGAGUUUCUGAAGCCCCCAAGCCUACAGAAUGCUGUCCGGCUGACCCUAUCACUGUCUGGGGUUUGGAUACCAGACUUGACUUAGUAUUUCUCCUCCUCCUCCCUAGUGGGCACCUUAUUUAUCUCUUACACAGCACUUGGUGCUCAACCAAAAGGCACCUAGAGUUAAGCUGACGCAUAUUUCUAUGGGUUUGACCUCAAAUAGAUGCCACUUAGUACUCACGAGGAAGUAGGCAGAGGAGAGAAACUCAGUAAAGAAUAUCUCCAUGCGUAGUCAUCGACCCCUGCUUCCAAAGGCCAACGUCCGUUUUGGCUAGUGUUCAAAGGUCACGGAGACUCUUUUUUUGAAAUCCUUGUCCGGAUUUGGAUGAAGGCCUCACAGCCUGGCAUUCAGGGAGCUUCCAGAAGGAGAGACAGGACACUCAUUUCCAGGAUCUGAGAGACUGAGCAGGGAUGGGAGCUAAUACUUAACUCUGCCACAUCAUCAUUUCAUCUCGGAAUGACCCUGUGGAAAUGCAGAACCAGAGAGGUUAAGGACUUUCCCAAAGGAGGCUCUCAGUCAGUAGAGGGCUGAGAAUGGAACUCCCCCAUCCAGGUCUUUCCCUGACACCAUCAUUAAACAAGGAACUUAAUUUCACAAGCUAAAAAACACAUCUGGGGCUCCAAUGCCCACAAGAAAUGGAAGCUCCGUGUGGCCCUAGCCCCCAAACCUUAGUUCCCAUUUCUUAAGCAAAAUCUGCAUCCGAGCUUCUGAUUGAUCGAGAGUAGGUCAUGUGACAGGCUGGGAGGUUAGGCGGUCUCUAUUUCUUGGCGGAGAGGAAUAAUAACAAGGGAAUUCCCUACCGAAAGGGAGGCUACUGGUGUGAUGCAGAACAGCUAGGAACGCAGCAGAUGGCUGCCACCCCGGCUCGCCCUAAAUGUCACGGCGAAGGAACUUAAUUUAUAAGCCUUGAUAUGUACUCCCUUUUGAAAUCCCCACAGCUUUCUUAAAAUGUGGUUUGGAGGGAAAAAAAUUUAUUACAUAGUUUUAAAGAGUAAUUUACAUAUAGCAAACUUCGCUCCUCCGAGUAUAUAGUUCUGGGGCUUCUAUCUCAUUCCACCUCCCUCCCCUGAAUUCUUGUAACUGUCUAAACACCGCGAGAUGCUGUUACACAGCUUCCUUGCCUUGCCUCCCCCCAGGCCCCUUGAAUUCCCCUUUGCUGGCCUUUGGAAACCAGCCACCUGUCUUUCUAGCUAUAGUUUCUGGAACAAAGACUUUGAAGGGGAAGAAGAAGAGCGACGGAGGAGAUUCUGUGUGUAAACACUAAUGCGUAUGUGUUGAAACCUCUCUCUACUUGGCCGCCAUCUUGGAGUUGGGAGAAACAGAUUAUUGUAAUAGCAUGAAUUGAUCCAGAGCAUAAUUUCUAUGAACCUGGAGACCCAGGCCUCCGCUUUGGAAAGCUCGAGCACAAGGAUGGUCAAAACUACAGACCGAGGGCUGGAGAGAUGGCUCAGUGGUUAAGAGCACUGGCUGCUCUUCCAGAGGUUCUGAGUUCAAAUCCCAGCAAGCAUAUGGUGACUCACAAACAUCUGUAAUGGGAUCUGAUGCCCUCUUCUGGUGUGUCUGAGGACAGCUUACAUAUACUUACAUAUACUUACAUGUACUUACAUAUAAUAAAUAAAUCUUUAAAAAAAAAAACCAAAAAAAAACCCAACUACAGACUGAGUUUAAAGGUAGCUUGGUCAAUUUGGUAAGAGCUUGUCUCAAAGAAAAACUGUAAAGAAAAUGGGGUUAUGGUUGGGUGUAGAACACUUGUCUUGGGGGUUGGGGUUUUAGCUCAGUGGUAGAGGCCCUGGGUUUGGUCCCCAGCUCCUAAAAAAAAGAAAAAAAAAAAAAGAACACUUGUCUAGCUUAAAGAAGGGCUUUAACCCCGAGUACUGGGAAACACUAGGGCAUAACUUCCUCUCAAAUAUUAGGUUUAAGGCCUAACACAGAUGUCUGCUGUGGCUCAUAGUGUAAUUGUCAUUUAAAGGGACAGGCAGAGAGACCAUGCACUGCAUAUUGCACGGGGCACAUGUUCCGUCGAGGGACCCACACCUUCCAGACCAUCUCUGGUUUUCUCCAGUCUGGCCUCCCUUCCGAAAGGAAGAAAAAUGGGCCCAUAGUUUGUGUCUUCCUGCUAUGCCCCACUACACCCUAACCCCCUAAUUCUUCACUCAAAUUAUCCCGACCCCCUUCAGGCCCCUACACGGGAGAUAGCACACCUGUGGUGUACACUCUAGACUAAGCAGUGACCUGUGGCUGCUGCUCGCGAAAGCUAUUUACAACGCUGAGAUACAAAGGCUGCUGGGCAGAAGGAGGGGGUUAUGUACAUACGUAUGUACGUAUGUAUUUAUCGAUCUCCAAAGAGUGUAAUAUUCCAGAUUUAGGAGCUCAGUGGUUAAGUGUACUUGUUGCUCUUGCAACCUGGCUUCAGUUCCCGGCGCCCUCACGGCAGCUUCUCCACAACUAUGGCAGAGGAUCUGAUACCCUCUUCGGAUUCCCGCAGGCUCCCGGCACCUAUGUGGCGUACUGUCAACUUGAGGAUCUCUUAAGAGAUUGGUGGGAAACACCUCCUGGUGUGUUUGUGAGGCUGUUUCCAGAGACGAUUAACACAGAGAGGAAGCCCCACCCUCAAUCUGAGUAUCACUCACAAUCUGGGGUUCUCCCCCACCGCUGAACAGAGAGAAAGGGGAGAGUUGGUAGAGCAUUGGCGUUCCUCCCCUCGUCUUCCCCGUCAGCCAUGAAGCAAAUGGCUUCUCUGCCGCACGCUCCUGCCACUAUGGGGUCCUGCUCGGUGCACAGAGCUGGAACCCUAUGCGGCUCAGCGGAACUCUCCGAAACUGUGAGCCAAAAAAAACUUUCCCUUCCCUAAGUUCUUCGCAUCGGGUGUUUUGUCACUGCACCAUGAAACCUAGCUAGCGCGUUAUUUCGUUUGGGUCUCUCAACCGCUCUGCUAGGUGUGCAUCUUGUCUCCAACUGGUAGGUGGGGCAGUAGCAGCUUAGCCACAUUGAAUUCCUUAAUGGGAGAAGCUGGGAGCCCAGCUGAGCCCGGCGCCGUUGCUGCAAGGUCAGCGGGAUCCUCCUUUGCUUUCACCUCAUCCUUUUUCCUAGCAGGGAUCCUGGGGGAAAGCAACCAGUCUUUUAAAUGGGAGAUGGGGGGAAAUUAAACUAAAGUUCCAGAGCCUCCCGUGACUGGUCCUAUUUUUCUCUCAAAGCAGAAAAAAAAAGCCCAAGUACAGGAGAUAGUUUGCUGGGGCAGAGAUAAUGGAGACACACGGGGGAAGAAGGCACGGAUGAAUUCAGGUGAGUUCCAGUGAGUUCGUUAUAGGAGAAGGAGGGGCAGGGUAGAGUGUGAGUAGGGGUUGGGGGUCAACACAACCACUCCCCCUUUUAAUGUGUGUGUCUCCGUGCACACAGCCAUGUUUAUGCGGCACAGCUCAAAUGUAGAGGAAAGCGUUUGUUCCUUCCUCUGUGGGGGUAUCGAGGACUCGAACAUGGGUCAUCUGCCUUGGAUGCAAUCACCUUUACCCACUGAGUCAUCUCAUCAGCCCAAUUCUGGCUUUCGUGUCAGGCUGGGUUUUAAAUCCAAGUGUUUGACACUCAGCACUUGGCUUUGACCAGGCCACUAAGUGCAUAGAACUUCAGUCUCACUGUGAGAAUGUAGCCCACACUGAGACUUCAUCUUAAAACACCACAGGGACGAAAUUGAAGUCCUGCCAGGGGACACCUGGCCUGGGGCUGGUCACUUACACCAUUCUACAAUUUUCUCCCUGCUCCUUACAUUCCUUGACUGAUGCACACGAGUUCCUUUUGGCUCUUUGUAGCAACAGCUGAGAGCUCCAAAAAUAAACUUGAAUUAAAAUUAAGCUAGGUUCAGUGCUGAGGUCCCUGGCAGGCACCUCUGUAUAAAUAGCAGAAGUGAAACGAGAGAGAGGAAAAAAAAAGAAAGAAGCGAUUUCAUUUCUAGUAUUAGAUGCAUCAUGUAGGCCAGCCACGGUUGAGGGGGUGGGCAUGGCAAGAGGAAGAUUUGGUAUUUUUCUUCGUUGUUUUUGUUUUCGUUCUGUGAUGAUGUGGGGGGACUCUCCAGGGACACCAUGCGUCACAGAGCAGCGAAGAGGGGGGUGGUGAAGGCAGGCAUGGGCAGGUAGGAGAAUGUCACCCUGUCACUGACAUCAUAGGGCAGAAGUGGGGAAUCAAAAGAACAGAGGUCAAGGCAUGGUAAGGGUCAGGUGACUGCCACGCCCUCCUCCCCUCCGGGCUCAGGGGGAUCGGUGAGUUCCUUAAGUGGAUUUGCAAUGAGUUUCUGAAGAAAAGGUCAACUUCGAGGAUUUGCGUUACUCCUGAAAGGGCAGGGCUGCAGACACUCAGGCCAGCUUAGUCCACUGAGACCUGCAGCAACGCCUGCCUGUUCUUUGCAGUGAGCAGCCCUUCUUCGCUUAUAUAUGUGGGUCGGGAUCAGCUUGGGAUAUCAGUUCUAAAGGAGCUGGGGACCGAACCCAGGGCUUUGCGCUUGCUAGGCAAGUGUUCUACCACUGAGCUAAAUCCCCAACCCCCAAUGCAAAUCUGACCAACCAAGCUUCUGCUGCCCUGCCUUCCUUGCCUGGUAGACAACGGAUGGAUGCUAAGACCCCCUUGACCAUACACUGAAAUAAAUCCUUGCUUCCCUUAGGGGACAUUUGUCCGGUCUUUUAUUAUAGCAACCAGAAAGUAAUAGGAACUUUAUUAGUGAUGAUUUUUCUCGUGAAACCCUUGGUAGGAUGCUGCCGGGAAGUUUUCGAUCUGAACUGGGAUAGCGUUUUUUACCGGAAUGAAGAGAUAGACGUGCACAUGCUCACUCCUCACCAACUCUGUGAGGCCGCGCCGCCGUGGGGCGGCAGGGAAACCGCACUUGUUCAGUAGCAGAGCCUUUCAAGUCAUGCUCAUAAAGCUGGUGGAGUGCCAGGCUUCUCUUGUGCCGUUAUGCGAACUAGAAGAUGCUAAUAACUUGUGAUAUGAUAGAGAAAGAGGCGCAGGGGUGGGUAAGAUGGAUGCCUGCAAGCUUGGACACCUGCGUAUGGUCCCUGCGACCUGUGCAAAGACGGAAAGAGAAAAUGGACCCAACUUUUCACAUGUGCCGUGGCAUGUGCAUGCCCAUACGCACAUACGUGCACGUGAGUAUGCACACGCACACCAUAAUAACUCAAAAAUCUGGAAGAAAGUGUAGAAACGUCCUUUACAGUGUCAUUCAUAAAAACAACCCAUUCUCGAGGGAGAACAUGACGUUGAAGGGUUCUUUUUUAGCAGACCUGGCCACCAUCUCAAAAGUUGUAGGAAUCUCAUAACCCUUUAAUUUUUUUUUUUAAACCAGGUUUGGUGGUUCACGUCUUUAAUCGCAGCUCUCAGGAGGCAGAGGCAGGUGGAUCUCUGUGAGUUUGAGGCCAAUCUGGUCUAUGUAGUAAGGUCCAGACCAGCCAGGGCUACAUAGUAAGACCUUACCUCAAAAAACAAAAACAGAAUAAAAACAGUCACACCUA